rnacentral:lncRNA from 10 species
GUUUUGAAUCUACAGAUCGGUUAAGGAGUAUUAACAAUAUUACAUUUUCUAAUCCAUGAAUAUGAGAGGUUUUUAUUUAGGUCUUAAAUUUCUUUCAACAAUAUUUUAUAGUGCUCAGAGUAUAAAUUUUGCACUUUUCUGUUAAAUUUACUCCUAAGUAUUUUGUUCUUUUUGAUGCUAUCAUAAAGAUAAUGAUUUUCCUAAUUUCACUUUCAGAUUGUUCAUUUCUAAUAUAUACAAAUGCAAUUAACUUUGUUUUCUCCUUUUUUUUAAUUUUAUUUUUCCAAAUUUUUACACUUAAAAAAAAAAUUGAUUCUUGGCCUGGGAAGUCGAGGCUGCAGUGAGCUAUGAUCACAUGAUUGCACUCCAGCCUGGGCAACAGAUAGAGACUCUGUCUCCAAAAAAUAACAUAACAUAACAUAACAUAACAUAACAUAACAUAACAUAACAUAACAUAACAUAACAUAAAAUAGUUCAGCAAAGUUGAAGGAUACAAGACCACGACACAAAAUUUGUUGCAUUUGCUUGCUCAGAUGAUCUACAAAGGUAAUUUUUUUAAUUUUUAAGAAUCAAGGCCAGGUGUGGUGGCUCACGCCUGUAAUCCCAGCACUUUGGGAGGCCGAGGUGGGCAGAUCAUGAGGUCCAGAGGUCGAGAUCAUCCUGGUCAACAUGGCGAAACCCCAUCUCUACUAAAAAUACAAAAAUUUGCUUCCUGGGUUCAAGUGAUUCUCCUGCCUCAGCCUCCCAAGUAGCUGGUACUACAGGUGGGCACCAUCAUGCCCGGCUAAUUUUUGUAUUUUGAGUAGAGACGGGGUUUCGUCAUGUUAGCCAGGCUGUUCUUGACCUCCUAACCUCAAGUGAUCCAC